GGGCGAUUGGCGCAGCGGCUAGCGUACUUCGUUCACACCGAAGGGGUCGUAGGUUCGAUUCCUACAUCGCCCA
rnacentral:tRNA from 1 species